rnacentral:rRNA from 1 species
GAUGAACGCUGGCGGCGUGCCUAAUACAUGCAAGUCGAGCGAACAGAUGAGGAGCUUGCUCCUCUGACGUUAGCGGCGGACGGGUGAGUAACACGUGGAUAACCUACCUAUAAGACUGGGAUAACUUCGGGAAACCGGACCUAAUACCGGAUAAUAUAUUGAACCGCAUGGUUCAAUAGUGAAAGACGGUUUUGCUGUCACUUAUAGAUGGAUCCGCGCCGCAUUAGCUAGUUGGUAAGGUAACGGCUUACCAAGGCAACGAUGCGUAGCCGACCUGAGAGGGUGAUCGGCCACACUGGAACUGAGACACGGUCCAGACUCCUACGGGAGGCAGCAGUAGGGAAUCUUCCGCAAUGGGCGAAAGCCUGACGGAGCAACGCCGCGUGAGUGAUGAAGGUCUUCGGAUCGUAAAACUCUGUUAUUAGGGAAGAACAAAUGUGUAAGUAACUAUGCACGUCUUGACGGUACCUAAUCAGAAAGCCACGGCUAACUACGUG